UUGUAAGUAAUGAAGAGCGUACGGUGGAUGCCUUGGCACCAGGAGCCGAUGAAGGACGUAGGAGGCUGCGAUAAGCCUCGGGGAGCUGUCAACCGAGCUGUGAUCCGAGGAUGUCCGAAUGGGGAAACCCAGCACGAGUGAUGUCGUGUUACCCGCGCCUGAAUAUAUAGGGCGUGUGGAGGGAACGUGGGGAAGUGAAACAUCUCAGUACCCACAGGAAGAGAAAACAACCGUGAUUCCGUGAGUAGUGGCGAGCGAAAGCGGAAGAGGCUAAACCAUGGGUGUGUGAUAGCCGGCAGGUGUUGCAUUCGUGGGGUUGUGGGGUUCAUUUUGUCUGUUCUGCCGAGCAGGCCAACAGUAAGAAAUCACAGGGUUAGUGGAAGUGGUCUGGAACGGCCUGUCGUAGAGGGUGAGAAUCCCGUACACGAAAACUUUGUGACUGUUGUAAUGGAAACCCAAGUAGCACCGGGCCCGUGAAAUCUGGUGUGAAUCUGUCGGGACCACCCGAUAAGCCUGAAUACUCCCUGGUGACCGAUAGCGGACUAGUACCGUGAGGGAAAGGUGAAAAGUACCCCGGGAGGGGAGUGAAAUAGUACCUGAAACCGUGCGCUUACAAUCCGUCAGAGCCUUCGAACAGUUUACUGUUGGGGGUGAUGGCGUGCCUUUUGAAGAAUGAGCCUGCGAGUUAGUGGCAUGUCGCGAGGUUAACCCGUGUGGGGUAGCCGUAGCGAAAGCGAGUCCGAAUAGGGCGAUCGUAGUGGCAUGCUCUAGACCCGAAGCGGAGUGAUCUACCCAUGGCCAGGUUGAAGCGACGGUAAGACGUCGUGGAGGACCGAACCCACUUAGGUUGAAAACUGAGGGGAUGAGUUGUGGGUAGGGGUGAAAGGCCAAUCAAACUCCGUGAUAGCUGGUUCUCCCCGAAAUGCAUUUAGGUGCAGCGUCGCGUGUUUCUCACCGGAGGUAGAGCUACUGGAUGGUCUAGGGGGCCCACAAGCUUACCGAAAUCAGCCAAACUCCGAAUGCCGGUGAGUGAGAGCGCGGCAGUGAGACUGCGGGCGAUAAGGUUCGUAGUCGAGAGGGAAACAGCCCAGAUCGCCAGCUAAGGUCCCUAAGCGUGUACUAAGUGGAAAAGGAUGUGGGGUCGCGAAGACAACCAGGAGGUUGGCUUAGAAGCAGCCACCCUUGAAAGAGUGCGUAAUAGCUCACUGGUCAAGUGAUCCUGCGCCGACAAUGUAGCGGGGCUCAAGUACACCACCGAAGCUGCGGCAUUCACGCAAUAGCCCCCAGUUGAUCCAAGGAUUUUCUGGCAGGUGUGUGGAUGGGUAGGGGAGCGUCGUGUGGCCAUGGAAGCGGCAGGGUGACCUAGCCGUGGAGGCCACACGAGUGAGAAUGCAGGCAUGAGUAGCGAAAGACGAGUGAGAAACUCGUCCGCCGAAUGACCAAGGGUUCCUGGGCCAGGUUAAUCCGCCCAGGGUGAGUCGGGACCUAAGACGAGGCCGACAGGCGUAGCCGAUGGACAACGGGUUGAUAUUCCCGUACCCGUGUGAACGCGCCCAUGGUGAAUCAGUGAUACUAACCAUCCUGAAGCCACGAGAAGACCUUCGGGUCUCGAGUUGGUGGAUGCAUGGGACCUGAUCUGGUAGUAGCCAAGCGAUGGGGUGACGCAGGAAGGUAGCUGAGCCAGUCAGUGGUAAUACUGGUGUAAGCGUGUAGGGCGUGACCUAGGCAAAUCCGGGUCACACAUAGCCUGAGACGUGAUGCGUAGCCGAUUGAGGCGAAUUCAGUGAUCCUAUGCUGCCGAGAAAAGCCUCUAGCGAGCUUUCACACGGCCCGUACCCCAAACCGACACAGGUGGUCAGGUAGAGAAUACUAAGGCGAUCGAGAUAACUAUGGUUAAGGAACUCGGCAAAAUGCCCCCGUAACUUCGGGAGAAGGGGGGCCCUGUNNNNNNNNNNNNNNNNNNNNNNNNNNNNNNNNNNNNNNNNNNNNNNNNNNNNNNNNNNNNNNNNNNNNNNNNNNNNNNNNNNNNNNNNNNNNNNNNNNNNUGGUGACGACAUUUACUGUCUGAGCUGGGUGGGGCCGCAGAGACCAGUGAGAAGCGACUGUUUACUAAAAACACAGGUCCGUGCGAAGUCGUAAGACGAUGUAUACGGACUGACGCCUGCCCGGUGCUGGAAGGUUAAGAGGACCGGUUAGUUCCUUCGGGAGCGAAGCUGAGAAUUUAAGCCCCAGUAAACGGCGGUGGUAACUAUAACCAUCCUAAGGUAGCGAAAUUCCUUGUCGGGUAAGUUCCGACCUGCACGAAUGGCGUAACGACUUCUCAGCUGUCUCAACCGUAGACUCGGCGAAAUUGCAUUACGAGUAAAGAUGCUCGUUACGCGCGGCAGGACGAAAAGACCCCGGGACCUUCACUACAGCUUGGUAUUGGUGUUCGGUUCGGUUUGUGUAGGAUAGGUGGGAGACUGUGAAACGGUGACGCCAGUUAUCGUGGAGUCGUUGUUGAAAUACCACUCUGAUCGAAUUGGACCUCUAACCUCGGACCAUGAUCUGGUUCAGGGACAGUGCCUGGUGGGUAGUUUAACUGGGGCGGUUGCCUCCCAAAAUGUAACGGAGGCGCCCAAAGGUUCCCUCAGCCUGGUUGGCAAUCAGGUGUCGAGUGCAAGUGCACAAGGGAGCUUGACUGUGAGACUGACAGGUCGAGCAGGGACGAAAGUCGGGACUAGUGAUCCGGCACCGGCAAGUGGAAGCGGUGUCGCUCAACGGAUAAAAGGUACCCCGGGGAUAACAGGCUGAUCUUCCCCAAGAGUCCAUAUCGACGGGAUGGUUUGGCACCUCGAUGUCGGCUCGUCGCAUCCUGGGGCUGGAGUAGGUCCCAAGGGUUGGGCUGUUCGCCCAUUAAAGCGGCACGCGAGCUGGGUUUAGAACGUCGUGAGACAGUUCGGUCUCUAUCCGCCGCGCGCGUUAGAAACUUGAGGAAGGCUGUCCCUAGUACGAGAGGACCGGGACGGACGAACCUCUGGUGUGCCAGUUGUUCCGCCAGGAGCACCGCUGGUUAGCUACGUUCGGAAGGGAUAACCGCUGAAAGCAUCUAAGCGGGAAGCCUGUUCCAAGAUGAGGUUUCUCACCCCCUCGAGGGGGUAAGGCCCCCGGCAGACCACCGGGUUGAUAGGCCAGAACUGGAAGUGCAGUAAUGCAUGCAGGUGACUGGUACUAAUAGGCCGAGGACUUACCACA
rnacentral:rRNA from 1 species